rnacentral:rRNA from 1 species
UACGAAGGGGGCUAGCGUUGUUCGGAAUCACUGGGCGUAAAGCGCACGUAGGCGGACUCUUAAGUCAGGGGUGAAAGCCUGAGGCUCAACCUCAGAAUUGCCUUUGAUACUGGGAGUCUUGAGUGUGACAGAGGUUGGUGGAACUGCGAGUGUAGAGGUGAAAUUCGUAGAUAUUCGCAAGAACACCAGUGGCGAAGGCGGCCAACUGGGUCAUGACUGACGCUGAGGUGCGAAAGCGUGGGGAGCAAACAGG